CAGUAGCCGCGGGAAUACGUAGGGUGCAAGCGUUAAUCGGAAUUACUGGGCGUAAAGCGUACGCAGGCGGUUAUAUAAGACAGAUGUGAAAUCCCCGGGCUCAACCUGGGAACUGCAUUUGUGACUGUAUAGCUAGAGUACGGCAGAGGGGGAUGGAAUUCCGCGUGUAGCAGUGAAAUGCGUAGAUAUGCGGAGGAACACCGAUGGCGAAGGCAAUCCCCUGGGCCUGUACUGACGCUCAUGCACGAAAGCGUGGGGAGCAAACAGGAUUAGAUACCCGGGUAGUCCCUGUCUCUUAUAC
rnacentral:rRNA from 1 species